AUGGGGUCUGCACUGUGGCCUGGGGUCUGCUCCAUGGCACGGGGUCUGCACGGUGGCCCAGGAUCUGCAUGGUGGCGUGGGGUCUGCACGAUGGCUCCAGGGUCUGCACGGUGGUCCUGGGGUCUGCUCGGCUGCAUGGGGUCUGCAUGGUGGCCCGGGGUCUGCAAGGUGGCCCAGUAUCUGCUCGGUGGCACCGGGGUCUGCACGGUGGCGUGGGGUCUGCAUGAUGGCUCCAGGGUCUGCACAGUGGUCCUGGGGUCUGCACAGUGGCGUGGGGUCUGCACGGUGGCCCUGGGGUCUGCACAGUGGUGUGGGGUCUGCACGGUGGCCCUGGGGUCUGCACAGUGGCGUGGGGUCUGCACGGUGGCCCUGGGGUCUGCACAGUGGCGUGGGGUCUGCACGGUGGCCCUGGGGUCUGCACGAUGGCGUGGGGUCUGCACGGUGGCCCUGGGGUCUGCACGGUGGCGUGGGGUCUGCACGGUGGCCCUGGGGUCUGCACAGUGGUUCUGGGGUCUGCACGGUGGCGUGGGGUCUGCACGGUGGCCCUGGGGUCUGCACAGUGGCGUGGGGUCUGCACAGUGGUUCUGGGGUCUGCACAGUGGCGUGGGGUCUGCACAGUGGCCCUGGGGUCUUCACGGUGGCAGGGGGUCUGCACGGUGGCCCUGGGGUCUGCACGGUGGCCGUGGGGUCUGCACGGUGGCCCUGGGGUCUGCACGGUGGCAGGGGGUCUGCACGGUGGCCCUGGGGUCUACACGGUGGCCCUGGGGUCUGCACAGUGGCGUGGGGUCUGCACGGUGGCCCUGGGGUCUGCACAGUGGCGUGGGGUCUGCACGGUGGCCCUGGGGUCUGCACGGUGGCGUGGGGUCUGCACGGUGGCCCUGGGGUCUGCACGGUGGCGUGGGGUCUGCACGGUGGCCCUGGGGUCUGCACGGUGGCCCUGGGGUCUGCACAGUGGUUCUGGGGUCUGCACAGUGGCGUGGGGUCUGCACGGUGGCCCUGGGGUCUGCACAGUGGCGUGGGGUCUGCACAGUGGUUCUGGGGUCUGCACAGUGGCGUGGGGUCUGCACAGUAGCCCUGGGGUCUUCACGGUGGCAGGGGGUCUGCACGGUGGCCCUGGGGUCUGCACGGUGGCGUGGGGUCUGCACGGUGGCCUUGGGGUCUGCACGGUGGCAGGGGGUCUGCACGGUGGCCCUGGGGUCUGCACGGUGGCCCUGGGGUCUGCACAGUGGCGUGGGGUCUGCACGGUGGCCCUGGGGUCUGCACAGUGGUGUGGGGUCUGCACGGUGGCCCUGGGGUCUGCACAGUGGUGUGGGGUCUGCACGGUGGCCCUGGGGUCUGCACGGUGGCCCUGGGGUCUGCACAGUGGCGAGGGGUCUGCACGGUGGCCCUGGGGUCUGCACAGUGGCGUGGGGUCUGCACGGUGGCCCUGGGGUCUGCACAGUGGCGUGGGGUCUGCACGGUGGCCCUGGGGUCUGCACGGUGGCCCUGGGGUCUGCACGGUGGCCCUGGGGUCUGCACAGUGGCGUGGGGUCUUCACGGUGGCAGGGGGUCUGCACGGUGGCCCUGGGGUCUGCACGGUGGCCCUGGGGUCUGCACGGUGGCCCUGGGGUCUGCACGGUGGUGACAAGUGUCCACAUUGCUCAGGAAGCACUUGCUGGUCACCACUGCUGCUUACACAGCCUCACCUUAGCAAGGCCCUGGACAGCCACACUGACACCUGGGACGUCACACCUGGCGUUUACUGCAUGAACGGAAUGGGGAGGAAUCUCCACAGCCCCAGAUCCUUCAGGGAUUUGCAGAGGGACUAGCCAUACUGCUCCGCAGAGAGCUGCCUCCCACAUGCACUCAUCACACACAACCCUCCCUGCAGCCCAGGCUUUCAGCACCUGAUGCUCACGGAACUUUCUGGAGCUACUUGGAGGGAGUGACCUGAUCUUUCUGGGGAGCUCUGCGUUUCCCAGGGAGCUCCUUCCCUUCUAGGCCCCCUGUCUGCAGUGACAGCUGGGAGGCCUGGACUUGGAGCCAUGACCUUUCCUCACCUCUCCCUGGCACGUCUGUGCCUCUGCCCCUGUGGCAUUUGGAAGCCCCCCCACCGCUGCCUCUCCUGCAGGACAUGAGUGGCGGCUGCCAGAUGGCACCUGUCUGCUGGCCAGAGUGGGAGCCUGACCUCCAAGGCCUACCCUGGGGGCUCUGCAGGUGGGGAGGGCAACGUGCAGCUGCCAUCUGGCAUGUCCCACAGACCCCCACCCUGGGUGGCGAUGGCCCCCUUGCCCCUGAUGGCCACAUUCAGGACGGCCCAGCCCUGAAUCCUUGGGCCUCAUGUGAAUACGGAAAUGCCCAGUUCUCUCGCUUUCUCGUUCCUGCACCAUGGGGCAGGAAUGUGACUCUCUCAGUGGCGGUGGCGGCGACCACACCUGCAGGGCCCGCUGGCCUCCCCUUUGCAACCGGCUCAGGUGCCUCCCGGCCAAGACUCCUUGAGGCCACUGUGUGACACACACCCCACCCCCGAAUCCCGGCCUGAGGGGCCUGGGAAGUGCAGCUCCUCCUAGCGGCAGGAGGGCGGGCACCUGCUCGGCAGCCCCUGCAGAGGAGGGUGGGGCCACUUCCAGUCCCAUCUGCCUUAGCUUUUUACAUUUUUAUGCAGCAAGCACGUGUUUCAUUGUGUUAAAAGAACAAUAAAUAUUCUAAAAAUCAUGACAAAAAAUUGAAGGUAGCUUCCUGGCAGGAAGAAUGAAAUCAUAGGUCCCACCGCAAAGGCCGUCACCUUGCUCCCACUCUCUUUCCCAUUAUCGUUUUAUUUUUUAUAGAGAUAGGGGUUUCACUAUGUUGCCUAAGCUGAUCUUGAACUCCUGGCCUCAAGUGAUCCUCCUGUCUGAGUAGCUGGGACCACAGGCGCGCACCACACCUGGCUGACUUUUGCAUUUUUUGUAGAGACAGGGUCUCAGCACAGCUGGUGUCCAACUCCUGAGCUGAAGCGAUCCCCCCACCUCAGCCUCCCAAAGCGAUGCGAUUAGAGGUGUGGGCCACCACACCUGGCCUGCUUCCUUCCCUCCCUCCUGCCUCCUUCCCUCCCUCCUGCCUCCUUCCCUCCCUCCUCCCUCCCUCCCUCUUGCCUCCCUCCCUCCCUCCUGCCUCCUUCCCUCCCUCCCUCCUGCCUCCUUCCCUCCCUCCUCCCUCCCUCCCUCCUCCCUCCCUCCCUCCCUCCUGCCUCCUUCCCUCCCUCCUGCCUCCUUCCCUCCCUCCCUCCUGCCUCCUUCCCUCCCUCCUCCCUCCCUCCCUCCCUCCUGCCUCCUUCCCUCCCUCCUCCCUCCCUC
ensembl:lncRNA